rnacentral:rRNA from 1 species
UACGGAGGGUGCGAGCGUUGUCCGGAAUCACUGGGCGUAAAGGGCGCGUAGGUGGCCCGUUAAGUGGCUGGUGAAAUCCCGCGGCUCAACUGCGGGGCUGCCGGUCAUACUGGCGAGCUAGAGCACGGUAGGGGCAGAUGGAAUUCCCGGUGUAGCGGUGGAAUGCGUAGAGAUCGGGAAGAACACCCGUAGCGAAGGCGGCACUCUGGGCCGGUACUGACGCUGAGGAGCGAAAGCGUGGGGAGCAAACAGG